rnacentral:lncRNA from 1 species
CAUCCCUUGAGAAAUCUGUAGUAAAUAGUUAUGAGAUUGAUAUAAGAGUGGCAUAUUGAUAUCAGUUUUAAUGGAUGAGUAGAUAAAAAACACAGCAUUCGUGGAUUGGAUAAUAGACAAAUCAGCAAUGAACUAAACAAGUUUCACCAAGCAUAGAUAAGAUGCAGAACAUAUGUGGAUAGCUGAUGAGUCCUUCAAACGUGGAUGGGAUACCUGCAUGUCAAAACAAAGAAAAUUCUGCAAUACUUGUCAAGUUCCUAAAGCUCUCUCACUCCUCUGCAUUAGAUUGUGUAAAGAAAAUAAAAGAUUUAACUGUCCCACUAUAUGCAAUGUUCAUAAUAAAACCAUCGUGUUAAAAUUUCUUCCUUGUGCAUGUCUAGCUUCACAAUUUCUAGAGCUCUCAACCCAUAAAAUAACCAUAAAUAUAAACAACAAUUUAAUCCUUGUUUUAUUAUUUUUUGAGUAUCCAUUUGGUUCUUACAAUUUUGAUAAGAAGAAUUGUAUCCAUUCAAUUUGAUAUGCUGGAAACAGAAGUUUUACCGGUAGAUUGUAAUUUUGUUUGCAAUUGAAUUAAAAUUAUGAUCAUGCCAAAAAUCACCUUUCCAGUAGAAUCUAUUAGCUCUUAUCUUCUGUUCUUUGAAAUCUAAAGUUCAAAAUAAAAAAUAUCUCAAAUUAUUAACCAAAAUAUUUUUACGGACAAGAUUAAACCAAAUAUUUUAUUUUUAUUAAAUUUAGGUUCUUUAAUAAAAUUAAUACGACUCAUUUAAAAAUCAAAUUAACCAUAUACAUUAAUCGAUCCUUUUUCUCCCCAACUGACUGUCUAUAUUGAAUUAAUCAAUCAAUAUACUAAAAAAGAAAGCCCAAAAUACUUGAAAAUCACAAUUAGACCUAACUCCGAGUGAAACCAAAAGAAUUUGGGGAAAAGCAUAUGGAGGCUCAGAUUCGCCUUUUAUCAGACAAGAAAAGGAACACAAUGGCUAUGGCUGCAACAAAGAAGAUCUCCAUGAAGGCAGGCAAAGCCAUCUCCACAGAAAUACAUAGAUAUCGCCCCGCCAAAAAUUCAAAGCGUUCUUUAACGUCUGAUUUUCGCACUCAGAAAAAAAAAAUCAUCACAGCCUCUUCCGAUUCGAUUUCGUAAAUAAAGCAGCAGCAGCAGAAGAUGAUAAAUAAACAAAUAAAUAAACAUAUAGAGCGGUUGAUUUUACAGAAGCGGCGUUGAAAUCAUCGGCUCCGCAUGCAUUCGGAGAGGCUGGCAACCACCCUACCAAGAAAACCCGUCCGCCUGUCCGAGAGCAAAGCCUCAUUCUUAAACUAAGGAGCGCUUAAUUAUUAUUAUUAUUAUUAUUACUAAUA